rnacentral:sRNA from 1 species
AGCCAUAAUAACUAUUCCUCGUAGUUGUUGCGGUUAGCGGCUUUAUCGUGCUACCAACACGGUAAAGCCGCGUU